AAUAAGUAGGUAUCAAUAAUAUCGUUUCUUUAUAAGGAUAAAUUAUAGGAAUAAUUUAUUACUUCUAUAUAAAUAUAUAUCUCCAAAUUUGUAACAUUUUAAUAAUAUUGUUAAGUAUUGUUAAUUGAACACAUUUUAAUUUAGUGGUGAUAAAUCCAUACACUAAAUUAUAAAAAUACACUUUUUUCAGAGCCGGAUAAAUGAGAAGGGAGUAUUAAGGGGACUAUUUUAAAUUCAAAAAUAAAUAAAACAAUGAAUACAAUAGAUACAAUUAUUAUUUAACUCAAAUACAAACAUUUAAAUCACACGGAAAACAAAAAAGAGUAAUUAAAUGUAAAGAAAAAGAAGAAAAUAAUAUUAUAGCCUUAUAGAUACCUAGAUAAUAUAAUAUGUAAAAUAGACAAUGAAAUAUUAUGACUAAGCAAAAUCCAUUGUAUAAAAUAAAUAAAAUUAUUAUACAUUAUUAUUAAUUAUAUAAUACAUAUAGAUUGAUAAUAUUGUAAAUAUUAACUCUAAUCACUAAUCUUAAGCACAAUUUAGGGGGGCUUAGCCUCCCUUUAAUAUUUCUUUAACUUUCCUAAGACGGCACUAUUUGUAACAAAAUGUUUUUCAAAUACUUUCAAAUAAUAAUAAUAGUAAUAAUAUUUUCAAAUAUUUAAAUAUAUUUAAAUAAAUAAGCAAAGCCGGUUAUCACAGUAUGCCUAAGUGGUAGCGAGAGUAGAUAUAAAAACACCAUAAUUUUUAAAUAUUAUUAUAUUAUUAUAAUAUGAAACACCCUUAAAAAUUACAGUUUGGGUAAAAACAAUAAUUGUAAUACGAUAAAAUAAAAUAAACAAAAUAUAAUCGCAUAGGUAGUACAAACAAUUAAUUAUCUGAAAAUUAUUAUUAAAGCGGGUUAAUAAAAUAAUAACACAACUAAGUUCUGAUAAUAAUAAAUAAUGUUUUGAAUGGAUAAGUUAAAUAAACGCAUUGUUACUCGUAUAUAAUAAUCAUUAGCUGAUUGUAUAGAUUGAUUGUAAAUAAUCAGGUAAUCACAAUACUAUUAAGUAGGUGGGUACUAAACAAUAUCUAUAUUGUAGUGCAUUAAACGAUCACAAAAGGUUCGAUAAUUAUAAGGGAUACACGACGAAUUUUGUCACAGAAUUUCGUUGACUUUAAAAACAUCCAUAGGUUAGAACACAACUAAAUAUACUAAGAACGACAGUCACAGUAUAACCAUUAAACCUACAGGAUUAAACUUAAAUGUUUUUACCAACAGUGAAAUUAUAAGUCACGCAAAAUUAAUAUACGAUGAAUAAACCUUAAAAAGGCACCGAUAUUCGUAAAAAACCACUUAUAUUAUAAUACGAUCGUAGCUAUGCGGGUUAUAAAAUGAAACCAAGACAACACGUUAAGCAUAGGUAAAGUAUGUUGUAAUAGAAAAUACGAUUAGAUAAAAAUCAAGGGAGAUAUGUAUGAAAUAUAAUGCGUAACAAAAAUUAAAAAUGAGUUCCAAAAUAAUACAUUUUAUCACAAAUGAAAUCAUCUAUCAAAUGCAAUAACACCCGAGCAAAUUGAAAACUUUUUACUUUUGUAAUAAAAAUAACAAGUCUAAACCGUAUGGAAUAGACUUUAGACAUAUACAGAAAAAAAAACCUCAUGAAUGUAACUUGUGUAACAGUUUUAAGUAUUGGUUUUUUAAUAUUUAUACAACAUGUAUAAGUUUCACUAGCGAAAACGACUAUUACUAGUCAAAUUGUGUAUGCAUCUAACUUUUAGAUUUUUAACUAAUAAUAACCCGUUUGAUAAGGAGUAUAAAGCCAUACUAAAAAAAUCCUUAUGAACGUUAUUCAUGUAACAAUACCUAUAUGAAAUCUUAAUAAGAGUAAAAAUAAUCAAAGAUUCAUACUGCGGAAAAACCAUAUAAAUGUAGUGUUGUACAAGAUUCAAUAAAAGUUGUUUAUCGAACACCAGAUAUCAUUAAAAAUGGUAUACAAUAUUUUAGAAAUAUUGUUAAGGAAUGUCAUCGCUAUGUUGCUGGUAAUGAUCGAUAAAUCAGAGCUAACGCUCUG